GCGGCGUGCUUCAUACAUGCAAGUCGAACGAGAAGCAGGAGCUUGCUCCUGUGGAAAGUGGCGGACGGGUGAGUAACACGUAGGAAAUCUGCCUUUGGGUGGGGGACAACAGUUGGAAACGACUGCUAAUACCCCAUAUGAGCUUGGUUGCAAUACCAAUCUUGAAAACUCCGGUGCCUAAAGAUGAGCCUGCGUCUGAUUAGCUUGUUGGCGGGGUAAUGGCCCACCAAGGCGACGAUCAGUAGCUGGUUUGAGAGGAUGAUCAGCCACAAUGGGACUGAGACACGGCCCAGACUCCUACGGGAGGCAGCAGUAGGGAAUUUUGCGCAAUGGGGGAAACCCUGACGCAGCAACGCCGCGUGAAUGACGAAGCCCUUCGGGGUGUAAAGUUCUGUCAGUAGGGAAGAAUUUUGACCGUACCUACAAAGGAAGCACCGGCUAACUCCGUGCCAGCCGCCGCCGUAA
rnacentral:rRNA from 1 species